UGAUGGUACAGGUAAGCUGUGUACCUGCGCACAGAGCAGCUGUAAGUGAGGAGAAGACAGAGCUGCAGGCCCGGUCCAGAGCCCCUCGGAAAGCCGCCCCGCGGUGCAAGGACUCUUCAUAACACUUCCUGGCACUCCAGGCAUUUCACUGACCUGCUUUAUGUUUGCGGGUUGGAUACAAGGCUGAACCUCUCUCCGAGAGGUAGGGUGGAUGGGCUUAGGUCCCCAGCAGACGCCAUGGUCCUUCUUGGAGAUUCUACAGGAAGAAGAGGCAUCAUUAGUGGGGAUAAGUGGCGAGCAGGAUGGAAGACAACAGACAUGGGCCGCCAUUGACACACCCCGUGUCUCUAAGUGGCUUCGGAGAUCCACGGGAUGCAUGGCUCAGGGAAGCGCAAGCGGGGACUCAUGGUCAGGAGGGCCCUUGCCUCCAGCUUCCUGCCCGUGAUCUUGAACUGACUGGGUCUACGCUUUGGAUGACCUUUCAGGACACCCUGUCGAUUUCAGAUCUCCCAUGGACUGACUACCCAGCUCCCAGCAUGCACUUUGCAGACCUGCGUCCUCAUCCUGGUUCACAAUGUAAAACAACACGGGGAGAAAUGAGUCACGGUGAAGAGUUCGGGGCGAAGGAUGCGGGGACGGGCAGGCUGCCUCAGGCUGGGAGGCAGAGGAGGGCUGCUGAAAGCAAGGACAGUGGCCCCGAAGCUGACAGGGCUCCGAGGCAGCCCCGGCUCGGCCGCACACACAGCCCCCAUUCAUGUCCUUGCCAAGCCCUCCCCCGAUGCUCAGGGCCGACAGUCCCCAGGUGGGCAUGCAGGUGCCCGUUGCUGACGUUAGCUGACACUGCAAACCUUGGGCCAGAAGCAGGAGGCCCGGAGGACAGACAGCAUCGCCCUGGCCUCCUGUCCCGGCGCCCCACCCCCCAGCCGGAGCGCACAGCGGGGGUGGGACACGGGAGGGGAGGCCUGCCGGCCCACUGGCCUGGGCAUCAUUUCCCGACCAUGGCACUACAUGUGUUUGGGCCUGGCUCCUUCUUUGUGGUGGGGACUGUCCUCUGCAGGCUGUGGAGCGGCACGUCAUGAUCUCACAGUUUGCAAGAUCGAGCCCCACCUUGGAUUCUAUGUGCUGACAGCACAGGG